rnacentral:rRNA from 1 species
AGAGUUUGAUCCUGGCUCAGAUUGAACGCUGGCGGCAGGCCUAACACAUGCAAGUCGAGCGGUAGAGAGAAGCUUGCUUCUCUUGAGAGCGGCGGACGGGUGAGUAAUGCCUAGGAAUCUGCCUGGUAGUGGGGGAUAACGUUCGGAAACGGACGCUAAUACCGCAUACGUCCUACGGGAGAAAGCAGGGGACCUUCGGGCCUUGCGCUAUCAGAUGAGCCUAGGUCGGAUUAGCUAGUUGGUGGGGUAAUGGCUUACCAAGGCGACGAUCCGUAACUGGUCUGAGAGGAUGAUCAGUCACACUGGAACUGAGACACGGUCCAGACUCCUACGGGAGGCAGCAGUGGGGAAUAUUGGACAAUGGGCGAAAGCCUGAUCCAGCCAUGCCGCGUGUGUGAAGAAGGUCUUCGGAUUGUAAAGCACUUUAAGUUGGGAGGAAGGGUUGUAGAUUAAUACUCUGCAAUUUUGACGUUACCGACAGAAUAAGCACCGGCUAACUCUGUGCCAGCAGCCGCGGUAAUACAGAGGGUGCAAGCGUUAAUCGGAAUUACUGGGCGUAAAGCGCGCGUAGGUGGUUUGUUAAGUUGGAUGUGAAAUCCCCGGGCUCAACCUGGGAACUGCAUUCAAAACUGACUGACUAGAGUAUGGUAGAGGGUGGUGGAAUUUCCUGUGUAGCGGUGAAAUGCGUAGAUAUAGGAAGGAACACCAGUGGCGAAGGCGACCACCUGGACUAAUACUGACACUGAGGUGCGAAAGCGUGGGGAGCAAACAGGAUUAGAUACCCUGGUAGUCCACGCCGUAAACGAUGUCAACUAGCCGUUGGAAGCCUUGAGCUUUUAGUGGCGCAGCUAACGCAUUAAGUUGACCGCCUGGGGAGUACGGCCGCAAGGUUAAAACUCAAAUGAAUUGACGGGGGCCCGCACAAGCGGUGGAGCAUGUGGUUUAAUUCGAAGCAACGCGAAGAACCUUACCAGGCCUUGACAUCCAAUGAACUUUCCAGAGAUGGAUUGGUGCCUUCGGGAACAUUGAGACAGGUGCUGCAUGUCUGUCGUCAGCUCGUGUCGUGAGAUGUUGGGUUAAGUCCCGUAACGAGCGCAACCCUUGUCCUUAGUUACCAGCACGUAAUGGUGGGCACUCUAAGGAGACUGCCGGUGACAAACCGGAGGAAGGUGGGGACGACGUCAAGUCAUCAUGGCCCUUACGGCCUGGGCUACACACGUGCUACAAUGGUCGGUACAGAGGGUUGCCAAGCCGCGAGGUGGAGCUAAUCCCAUAAAACCGAUCGUAGUCCGGAUCGCAGUCUGCAACUCGACUGCGUGAAGUCGGAAUCGCUAGUAAUCGCGAAUCAGAAUGUCGCGGUGAAUACGUUCCCGGGCCUUGUACACACCGCCCGUCACACCAUGGGAGUGGGUUGCACCAGAAGUAGCUAGUCUAACCUUCGGGAGGACGGUUACCACGGUGUGAUUCAUGACUGGGGUGAAGUCGUAACAAGGUAACC